AACGAACGCUGGCGGCAUGCCUAACACAUGCCAGUCGAACGAGACCUUCGGGUCUAGUGGCGCACGGGUGCGUAACGCGUGGGAACCUGCCCUUAGGUUCGGAAUAACUCCCCGAAAGGGGUGCUAAUACCGGAUAAUGUCUUCGGACCAAAGAUUUAUCGCCUUUGGAUGGGCCCGCGUUGGAUUAGCUAGUUGGUAGGGUAAAAGCCUACCAAGGCGACGAUCCAUAGCUGGUCUGAGAGGAUGAUCAGCCACACUGGGACUGAGACACGGCCCAGACUCCUACGGGAGGCAGCAGUGGGGAAUAUUGGACAAUGGGCGAAAGCCUGAUCCAGCAAUGCCGCGCGAGUGAUGAAGGCCUUAGGGUUGUAAAGCUCUUUUACCCGGGAUGAUAAUGACAGUACCGGGAGAAUAAGCUCCGGCUAACUCCGUG
rnacentral:rRNA from 1 species